GAGUAACCUGCCCUAGAGUGGGGGACAACAGUUGGAAACGACUGCUAAUACCGCAUAAGCCCACGGUACCGCAUGGCACUGAGGGAAAAGGAUUUAUUCGCUUUAGGAUGGACUCGCGUCCAAUUAGCUAGUUGGUGAGGUAACGGCCCACCAAGGCGACGAUUGGUAGCCGGACUGAGAGGUUGAACGGCCACAUUGGGACUGAGACACGGCCCAGACUCCUACGGGAGGCAGCAGUGGGGGAUAUUGCACAAUGGGGGAAACCCUGAUGCAGCGACGCCGCGUGGAGAAAGAAGGUUUUCGGAUUGUAAACUCCUGUCGUUAGGGACGAUAAUGACGGUACCUAACAAGAAAGCACCGGCUAACUACGUGCCAGCAGCCGCGGUAAAACGUAGGGUGCAAGCGUUGUCCGGAAUUACUGGGUGUAAAGGGAGCGCAGGCGGGAAGACAAGUUGGAAGUGAAAACCAUGGGCUCAACCCAUGAAUUGCUUUCAAAACUGUUUUUCUUGAGUAGUGCAGAGGUAGAUGGAAUUCCCGGUGUAGCGGUGGAAUGCGUAGAUAUCGGGAGGAACACCAGUGGCGAAGGCGGUCUACUGGGCACCAACUGACGCUGAGGCUCGAAAGCAUGGGUAGCAAACAGGAUUAGAUACCCUGGUAGUCCAUGCCGUAAACGAUGAUUACUAGGUGUUGGGGGAUUGACCCCCUCAGUGCCGCAGUUAACACAAUAAGUAAUCCACCUGGGGA
rnacentral:rRNA from 1 species